GUUGCAACAAGAGAAUACUAGUAUGGCUAAUAAGUCAGACUCCGAUGCUAUCUACGACUUGGGCUUACCAUAUUGUAAGUUUUUCAAGUAGUUGGAUGGUAAUGAAGUGAUUGAGCUACAAGUUUAAGAAAGAAUUGAUGAACUGUUAAUGAAGGAGAAAGAAGUAGAGAAGAUACUUGAGAUGCUGGAAAAGAGGGAGAUUGAGCUCCAUAAGAUAGUGGAUCGCCUCGAGAGGGUAAGCAUGGUGCUGUCCAAUAAAAGCGACGAGGUUACGAAUAAGGAGUUGGUGCUUAACGCACAAGAAGCUAGAAGAAAGGGAUUGUGCACGCUAUUUUGGAUUUAUUGUUGUUUUGUACUUGUACAUGCAUUUUACCUAGCUAACUAUAAGUGAAUUUGGGAUUGUUGUUAACUAGUUCGUUGUAUUUUGUGGAAUAUUAUCCUAGUUAUCUAACUGAGAUGGAGAUGAAUGUAAUUGAAGUAAAAGCUCAGCUUGUUUCUGCCCAAAUGGUUGGUUAUAUGAAAUUGAUGGAAGAAACUUGAUUGGAAAA